GCAAGAGAGUAACAGAAGCUGGCUUGGCCUGGGGGUCUCCUAGCCCCCAGUCCAGCACUCCGUGACCUUCUUCCCUGCUGUGCUUGUGCUCCCCAAGAGCAGGCCCUGUGCUCCUCCUCCCUCGUCUCCAGAACCUUCCACGGCAUCACCCAGCUGGUGCCCCCCACACACCUCCAGCCUGGUUUGGGACUCUCCAGAGAAUUCAAACAGUGCUGCUCACAGAGCUCAUGACUUGCUCCCUAUCUAGUUCCUUCCAGUCCUUCAGAAUAUAUUGAGGCGAAGGCGGUCUCUGCGUGGAGCCUGGGGGUCCUCGGCACCCCUCCCGUGCUUGCUAGCUGACCCAACUACUGAUCGUGCACUUCCCUCUCCAAUAAGAGUUUUAUUUUCAUUGCAUUUAUUUUUAUGGUCAUUUUCCGUUGAUGACAAGUGACACUGGUUUUUCACUCUACCAGAGUGGAAUUAAUUUCCUGCUUAAAAAAAAUAUUUAUUUAGGUUAAGAAAAGUGAAGAAGAAGAAGAAAAUUGAAAUCUUAAACCAAACAUCUGGAAGGUGAUGUGCGAAAGGCUGGGGUUUGGGAAGCCUAAUCCUCUCCCCUCCUACCUGGAAGAUGAAGCAGUGGGCCUGAUAGAACGGGGCUCGCAUGGAGUCUGAUCUAGAAGGUGGGUCUCCAAUCUUUCAGCUCUAUGAGCUGUGCUGGCACAAGAGGAACAAAUCUUGGUAUUUUCUUGCUGAGUGAGUUACCUGGGGCGAAAUAUUUUACUUAUCAGAGCCUGGAUCCUCCCCCAGAAAAGAAGGGUAAAGUACCCAGCCGGUGGGGGCCCGUGUAAUGAGGUGGAAAUGAGAUCAGGUGUUUAAGGUUCCUAGCACAGGGAAACCCUGAAAAAUAGUAUCUUUUCCCAUCUCCCUCUUAAGAAACCAGAGGCCACCUGGCUGAAUUAUUUCCUCUUCCUUCUGCUCUGUGGUUCCCGGACUUGGGGUUUGGGGGACGGAGGAGGGGCACUUACCUGCAGGCAUCAACAGAGCCGGGCCCUGUGGCAGCCUCAUCUUGGGGCUGGAUCCUUCCAGAAGAGGCAGCCCACCGUGAGAAUGACCUUUGCCUGCAGGGUCUCCUGCCAGUAGGGGAGUGGUCUUGGCAGAGGGAGGCGGUGGUUUCUGAUAGUUCGGAGGGAGGGGCUGGGAGGUGAUAAAGCAGGUGCGCUUCCCAAUCUAAGAUAUACAAACGGCUGAAUGAGUCAGUGAUUAAGAAAACCCACAGAAAAGGCUACUUGAGAGAUGGGCGUGGAGAACAGAAGCUGCCGGGUAAGGAAAACCUGAGGAAUUGAAACCAACCAGAGUGAUCCCGUCACCUUGAAGCACUACGGUUGAGGAUGGCCCGUCCUUGGGGGAGAUGUGCUAGGUGGUGGCAGUAGGGCUCAUUGAAAACAGACAUGAAAGGAAUGGUAUGUUUUCUGGUGGAUGUAGUCACGUCCAGGUUUGAAGUCUGGCCCACAGCUGCAAUCGGGAAGCUGGGAGGAGCCACCCAGGGGGCAGAGCAGCACAGCAAGGGUGGCCAAGAGCAGGAGAGAACACCUGGUGCUGAGGACAUCUCCAGGCCACUGGAGAGCCACCUUUCCCCUGGAUUUCUCGUCAUGUGAGGUCAUAAAUGCCCUCAUUGUUGGAGUCCAUCAAGUCAUAGGAAGUGUCCUGAUCGAUACAAAUGGGACGGGGUGCCAGGGAGCAGAGUGAGGAGAGUCAGGGUGGGAUCCUGGUUCUCCCUUUUGCUGGUUGUGGGACCUUGGACAUUGAAGUCCCCAAUCUGAGCCUGAGGUUGUAAAAUCGGGAUAAUAAUGCUCAUAUCUGUCAACAGAUGAUGAUGUUGUCACCAUCACAGAGCCUGGCCACAGAAGCUCCAACGGAGGAGUGGGGGUGGUCAGCUCUUGAGUCAAUGAUCACCGUGCCUCAGGAUCUAACUGACCCAGCUUGCACGGUCCUGUGGAAAGGACAGAGGAAUUGGGUGGAAAGGAGGGGGACACUGAUUAACUAUUUUCCCUUGAUUUAUCUUGAUUUCAAAUGCGGUCAUGAUAUAACAACAAGAACAAAAAUGCUAUAGGUAACAUGUAAAGAGGCAUUACCAGGUGCCUGGGGGGUGCAGUCAGCUAUGUGAUUGACUCUUGGUUUCAGCCCAGGUCAUGAUCUCAGGGUCAUGAGGUCGAGUCCUGCAUCGGGCUCUGUGCACCGUAUGGAGUCUACUCCAGACUCUCUCUCCCUCUCCUGUUGCCCCUCUC